AAGAUACGUUGGAUGGUCGCUCCGCCUCAUCGGCGGAGAGGAAAGUCCGAACACCUAGAAAAGGAUAGUGGGUAACGCCCACCUCCGCCGAAGAGGCGGACGGGAUAGUGCCACAGAGACAAUACUAGUCGCGACUUUCGUCGAGACAAAAGGUGAAAAGUGUCCGCUAAUAGCGGGCUCGCUCCGGCGGCAACGUCGGAUCGUGGAAAACCCUAUCUGGUGCAAGGCCGUGGUCGCCUUAGGCGACAGUGCCGCUUCAGUUUCUAUCGCAAGAUAGAUUCGAGAUAAAUGACCAUUAUCCGCCGAUGAGGUGGAACAGAAUUCGGCUUAUAGACGUAUCGCAUAU
rnacentral:RNase_P_RNA from 2 species